GUCUCUAUAAGCACCAUGUCCCCAUAGGGCUAUGUUUCUCUGUAAGCACCAUGUCCCCAUAAGGCCAUGUCCCCAUAAGGCCAUGUCCCCAUAAGGCUAUGUCUCUCUAUAAGCACCAUGUCCCCAUAAGGCUAUGUUUCUCUAUAAGCACCAUGUCCCCAUAAGGCUAUGUUUAUCUAUAAGCACCAUGUCCCCAUAAGGCUAUGUUUAUCUAUAAGCACCAUGUCCCCAUAAGGCUAUGUCUAUCUAUAAGCACCAUGUCCCCAUAAGGCUAUGUUUAUCUAUAAGCACCAUGUCCCCAUAAGGCUAUGUUUAUCUAUAAGCACCAUGUCCCCAUAAGGCUAUGUUUAUCUAUAAGCACCAUGUCCCCAUAAGGCUAUGUUUAUCUAUAAGCACCAUGUCCCCAUAAGGCCAUGUCCCCAUAAGGCUAUGUCUCUCUAUAAGCACCAUGUCCCCAUAAGGCUAUGUUUCUCUAUAAGCACCAUGUCCCCAUAAGGCUAUGUUUCUCUAUAAGCACAAUGUCCCCAUAAGGCUGUGUCUCUCUAAGCACCAUGUCCCCAUAAGGCUAUGUCUCUAUAAGCACCAUGUCCCCAUAAGGCUAUGUCUCUAUAAGCACCAUGUCCCCAUAAGGCCAUGUCCCCAUAAGGCUAUGUCUCUAUAAGCACCAUGUCCCCAUAAGGCUAUGUUUCUCUAUAAGCACCAUGUCCCCAUAACACCAUGUCCCCAUAAGGCUAUGUCUCUAUAAGCACCAUGUCCCCAUAAGGCUAUGUUUCUCUAUAAGCACCAUGUCCCCAUAAGGCCAUGUCCCCAUAAGGCUAUGUCUCUCUAUAAGCACCAUGUCCCCAUAAGGCCAUGUCCCCAUAAGGCUAUGUCUCUCUAUAAGCACCAUGUCCCCAUAAGGCCAUGUCCCCAUAACGCUAUGUCUCUAUAAGCACCAUGUCCCCAUAAUGCUAUGUCUCUAUAAGCACCAUGUCCCCAUAAUGCUAUGUCUCUAUAAGCACCAUGUCCCCAUAAGGCCAUGUCCGCAUAAGGCCAUGUCCCCAUAAGGCUAUGUCUC